rnacentral:rRNA from 1 species
GUACACUCCUACGGGAGGCAGCAGUGAGGAAUAUUGGACAAUGGGUGGAAGCCUGAUCCAGCCAUCCCGCGUGCAGGAAGACGGCCCUAUGGGUUGUAAACUGCUUUUAUCUGGGGAUAAACCUACUUACGUGUAAGUAGCUGAAGGUACCAGAAGAAUAAGCACCGGCUAACUCCGUGCCAGCAGCCGCCGUAAUACGGAGGGUGCAAGCGUUAUCCGGAUUUAUUGGGUUUAAAGGGUCCGUAGGCGGACUGAUAAGUCAGUGGUGAAAUCCGACAGCUUAACUGUCGAACUGCCAUUGAUACUGUUAGUCUUGAGUAAGGUUGAAGUGGCUGGAAUAAGUAGUGUAGCGGUGAAAUGCAUAGAUAUUACUUAGAACACCAAUUGCGAAGGCAGGUCACUAAGUCUUAACUGACGCUGAUGGACGAAAGCGUGGGGAGCGAACAGGAUUAGAAACCCCGGUAGUCCCAU